rnacentral:rRNA from 1 species
GACGAACGCUGGCGGCGUGCUUAACACAUGCCAGUCGAACGGAAAGGCCUGCUUUCCCUUGUGGAUUGCGGGUACUCGAGUGGCGAACGGGUGAGUAACACGUGAGUGAUCUGCCCCCAACUUGGGUAUAAGCCUGGGAAACUGGGUCUAAUUCCCGAUAGGACUGCAGGGUGGUGCCUGUGGUGGAAAACGAUUUUCUAGUGGUUGGGGAUGAGCUCGCGGCCUAUCAGCUUGUUGGUGGGGUAAUGGCCUACCAAGGCGGCGACGGGUAGCCGGCCUGGGAGGGUGGACGGCAACAUUGGGACUGAGAUACGGCCCAGACUCCUACGGGAGGCAGCAGUGGGGAAUAUUGCACAAUGGGCGGAAGCCUGAUGCAGCGACGCCGCGUGGGGGAUGACGGCCUUCGGGUUGUAAACUCCUUUCGACCGCGAGGAAGCCACCUGGUUGGAAGGGUGGUGACGGUAGUGGUAGAAGAAGCACCGGCUAACUACGUG